GACGAACGCUGGCGGCGUGCUUAACACAUGCAAGUCGAACGGAGAGGCCCUGCUUUUGUGGGGUGCUCGAGUGGCGAACGGGUGAGUAACACGUGAGUAACCUGCCCUUGACUUUGGGAUAACUUCAGGAAACUGGGGCUAAUACCGGAUAGGAGCUCCUGCUGCAUGGUGGGGGUUGGAAAGUUUCGGCGGUUGGGGAUGGACUCGCGGCUUAUCAGCUUGUUGGUGGGGUAGUGGCUUACCAAGGCUUUGACGGGUAGCCGGCCUGAGAGGGUGACCGGCCACAUUGGGACUGAGAUACGGCCCAGACUCCUACGGGAGGCAGCAGUGGGGAAUAUUGCACAAUGGGCGGAAGCCUGAUGCAGCAACGCCGCGUGCGGGAUGACGGCCUUCGGGUUGUAAACGGCUUUCGCCUGUGACGAAGCGUGAGUGACGGUAAUGGGUAAAGAAGCACCGGCUAACUACGUG
rnacentral:rRNA from 1 species